GAUGAACGCUGGCGGCGUGCCUAAUACAUGCCAGUCGAGCGAACAGACGAGGAGCUUGCUCCUCUGACGUUAGCGGCGGACGGGUGAGUAACACGUGGAUAACCUACCUAUAAGACUGGGAUAACUUCGGGAAACCGGAGCUAAUACCGGAUAAUAUAUUGAACCGCAUGGUUCAAUAGUGAAAGACGGUUUUGCUGUCACUUAUAGAUGGAUCCGCGCCGCAUUAGCUAGUUGGUAAGGUAACGGCUUACCAAGGCAACGAUGCGUAGCCGACCUGAGAGGGUGAUCGGCCACACUGGAACUGAGACACGGUCCAGACUCCUACGGGAGGCAGCAGUAGGGAAUCUUCCGCAAUGGGCGAAAGCCUGACGGAGCAACGCCGCGUGAGUGAUGAGGGUCUUCGGAUCGUAAAACUCUGUUAUUAGGGAAGAACAAAUGUAUAAGUAACUAUGCACGUCUUGACGGUACCUAAUCAGAAAGCCACGGCUAACUACGUG
rnacentral:rRNA from 1 species